UUGAAACAAACGGCGCCCCAUAUGUUUGCGAUGUUACUCUGAGUGCAUAUCCACACCGGGCGAGCUUGAAAAAUAUGCCCGGCCACGGUGGGAUUCGAACCUACGACCUUUGGAAUACUAGCCCUAGCUCUUAAUAUCUAUUGAGACUUUGAGCGCCGUGAACAACACAAGCUUCUUCCUCGCACCGCGAAAUUUUGGUGCGGAAUCUUACAUCCCGAAGUACGUUCGAGAGAAACAAAAAAGUUUUGUACGGCCUUAAGGUAAAUAUAUUCUAUUUUAAGUUUUAACUAGAUGUAGCAUUAAUGAUCAUAGCUGUUGACACAGUAGACCACAGUAGGCUGUAGUGGA